rnacentral:rRNA from 1 species
UCCGUAGGUGAACCUGCGGAGGGAUCAUUACCGAGUUUACAACUCCCAAACCCCUGUGAACAUACCUUAAUGUUGCCUCGGCGGAUCAGCCCGCGCCCCGUAAAACGGGACGGCCCGCCAGAGGAUCCAAACUCUAAUGUUUCUUAUUGUAACUUCUGAGUAAAACAAACAAAUAAAUCAAAACUUUCAACAACGGAUCUCUUGGUUCUGGCAUCGAUGAAGAACGCAGCAAAAUGCGAUAAGUAAUGUGAAUUGCAGAAUUCAGUGAAUCAUCGAAUCUUUGAACGCACAUUGCGCCCGCUGGUAUUCCGGCGGGCAUGCCUGUUCGAGCGUCAUUUCAACCCUCAAGCCCCCGGGUUUGGUGUUGGGGAUCGGCUCUGCCUUCUGGCGGUGCCGCCCCCGAAAUACAUUGGCGGUCUCGCUGCAGCCUCCAUUGCGUAGUAGCUAACACCUCGCAACUGGAACGCGGCGCGGCCAUGCCGUAAAACCCCAACUUCUGAAUGUUGACCUCGGAUCAGGUAGGAAUACCCGCUGAACUUAAGCAUAUCAAUAAGCGGAGGA